AUUGAACGCUGGCGGCAGGCCUAACACAUGCAAGUCGAACGCGUGGCAGACGGGUGAGUAAUGUCUGGGAAACUGCCCGAUGGCGGGGGUUAACUACUGGAAACGGUAGCUAAUACCGCAUACCAUCGGAUGUGCCCAGAUGGGAUUAGCUAGUAGGUGGGGUAACGGCUAACCUAGGCCACGAUCCCUAGCUGGUCUGAGAGGAUGACCAGCCACACUGGAACUGAGACACGGUCCAGACUCCUACGGGAGGCAGCAGUGGGGAAUAUGGCACAAGGGGCGCAAGCCUGAUGGAGCCAUGCCGCGUGUAUGAAGAAGGCCUUCGGGUUGUAAAGUACUUUCAGCGGGGAGGCGUUACUCGCAGAAGAAGCACCGGCUAACUACGUGCCAGCAGCCGCGGUAAUAC
rnacentral:rRNA from 1 species